UUGCAAACAAGAUCACUAGCCCAGCAUGCUGUUGCUGAAGCAAGGGGAACAUGUUUGCUAUAAUAAAUUUUGGUUCUAGAAGCGCCUGGCCCUUGGAAAUGUGGCAGCGGUCCUAGCUUCUGUGCCAGUACAUUC